UACGUAGGGGGCAAGCGUUGUCCGGAAUUAUUGGGCGUAAAGAGCGCGUAGGCGGUCUGUCGCGUCGGUCGUGAAAACUUGGGGCUUAACCCUGAGCUUGCGGUCGAUACGGGCAUGACUGGAGUUCGGCAGGGGAGACUGGAAUUCCUGGUGUAGCGGUGAAAUGCGCAGAUAUCAGGAGGAACACCGAUUGCGAAGGCAGCUCGCUGGGACGUGACUGACGCUGAGACGCGAAAGCGUGGGGAGCAAACAGG
rnacentral:rRNA from 1 species